UUUGAGGCAUCAGAAGCAGAAGGUGUUCCUUGUGUCAUUCCCUGCUCUUGCCCUAGAAAGAUGGACCCAGGUCCAAAGGGGCACUGCCAUGGGGGACAUGGCCAUGGCCAUCCUCCAGGUCCAGGUCACUGCGGGCCCCCCCCUGGCCAUGGCCCAGGGCCUUGCGGGCCCCCCCCUGGCCAUGGCCCAGGGCCUUGCGGGCCCCCCCCUGGCCAUGGCCCAGGGCCUUGCGGGCCCCCCCCUGGCCAUGGCCCAGGGCCUUGCGGGCCCCCCCCUGGCCAUGGCCCAGGGCACCCACACCCUGGUCCACAUCACUGAGGAAGUAGAAUAAAACAGGACACAAGAUGGCAAGCCUGAGAGAACUGCCCAGCUGACCUGGAAGGAGACCUGAACCAGAAUCUUUUUUUCCUAAUAAACAGCCUCCUAGAGGCCAUAUUCUAUUCUU